AUGAACGUUGGCGGCGCGUCUAAUACAUGCAAGUCGAGUGGGUUUAGGCCCACGGCGGACGGCUGAGUAACACGUUGGUAACUGCCCCAUACUCAGGGAUAACCCUUCGAAAGAAGGGCUAAUACCGGAUAGUCCCGCAAGGGUAAAGAUUUAUCGGUAUGGGAGGUGCCUGCGUCCUAUCAGCUUGUUGGUGAGGUAAUGGCUCACCAAGGCUAUGACGGGUAACUGGUCUGAGAGGAUGGCCAGUCAGAGGGAAACUGAGACACGGUUCCCACUCCUACGGGAGGCAGCAGUAAAGAAUCUUCCGCAAUGGACGAAAGUCUGACGGAGCGACGCCGCGUGCAGGAUGAAGGCCUUCGGGUUGUAAACUGCUUUUUUGGGGGAAUAAUUUUGAAUGUACCCCAAGAAUAAGCACCGGCAAAUCACGU
rnacentral:rRNA from 1 species